CGUAGAACAUAGGUCUAGGCCAUCUGUAAUUCUCUUUAGAGGUCGUUGUCGUGCCGCGGAUACAUGACCUGAUACAUCUUCCAUUCUCUUUACAUUGAUGUCCCAUGUUUGAUCAUCUUUUUUUUUUCUCUGCUGCUAGUCUUGCAUUCAGAAGACGUUCUCAAUCCAAAAUGAAAUCAGACAAGGGUCCUGGUGCUAUAUAUGUAUAGUGGCAACCACUGAAUCUGGGGCUACACAAUGAUGGCUAGCUUUUGUGAUAAGUCGGGGCCCAGUGUUGGCGUCGAUCGGUUUCACUGUAUAUGCUGGUUCAGCAAUCACAGUACAAUCAUCUCUGCUUCUGCUAUUAUGAAGUCUGGACGUACCUUGGAAUGCAAGGGAAGAAGAAAUUAACACGUGUUUUGGUUUCUUGUGAUUUGAUUUGAUUUGAUUUGAUUUUGAUCCCCUGCAUAGAAAAGGAAGGCAGUUGGCUAGUGAUGAUGCAUGGAGAGGCACACUGUAACAUGAGUUUUAGGUUUGCCACUCCUUAAUCCUUAUCUCUCAGUUCCUUUGUAAAAGAAAUGCAAGUGUUUCUUUGAUUUGUUUGUAGAAAAUUGGAGAUUUUGAGAACUGGAUGAAGGUCAUGGAGUUUGACUGUAAAAGUAUCAAUGCUGCAAUCCAGAACAUUCAUCAGUCAUGAUUCUGCUGCAAUCCGAUUCAUUGAUAGAUGACUGAAAGUAUGGUUUCAUCUGUUGGAGAACUGUAAUGAAAGGUACACGGCUUGUGUAACAUGAGUUUGCCGCUCUUUUUGUCGUCCUGAUAAAUAAAGAAGAAAAAGAUCUUCCAAGACGGUUACUACAGGGGGAGGCACAGGUAGCUCUCAGUGCACAUAUCUGCUGGAUUGUGCAAGAGCUGAGAGCUCCUUCACUGCUCCCUCCAAUACCUUGACCUGGGACACUGCCGAGGGUCAUCUUCUUGAGGUGGGCCAGGAUGUCAAGCCUACACUGUUCUCUGUCCCGGCACACACCUGGUGGGGAAUGCAUUAGCUAGUUGUGGAGGCGUUCAGGAGAUGGUUUCUGCUUCUGACAAUGAACUCGGUGGGUUGGUUUCAUUUUCAGCGAUCGUGUCCAGCCUCGAUGGUGGCCGGCGCCGGCAGCGCCGACGUACGCCAGCGCCAACGUCGACAAGGCGUGCGCCGGCAAGCCGUACCCGGACACCUGCGUCUCCGUGCUGUACUGCUGUCCUUCUUCCUAGGCAGCAAAGACGCGGAAGCUCGCGCGCUGGCCGCCAUGGCGUCUACGCCGCCCACAACCUCUUGGUCCGCCGAUCAGCUGUCCGGCCAUGGCGUGUCCAAUGCCACGGCAACGUCCUGCCUUGAAGCGUGCAGGCUCAGGAUGCAAGACGCGUCCGAUUUCAUAUUUGAACAAAUUUGACUCACUUGAUAUGAGACGGAGGAAAAGCAAUUUCGAGAAUAACAAUUCAAUGAAUGAUUUCAGAAUAUA